GAUGAACGCUAGCUACAGGCUUAACACAUGCAAGUCGAGGGGCAUCAGGAAGAAAGCUUGCUUUCUUUGCUGGCGACCGGCGCACGGGUGAGUAACACGUAUCCAACCUGCCCUUUACUCGGGGAUAGCCUUUCGAAAGAAAGAUUAAUACCCGAUAGCAUAAUGAUUCCGCAUGGUUUCAUUAUUAAAGGAUUCCGGUAAAGGAUGGGGAUGCGUUCCAUUAGGUUGUUGGUGAGGUAACGGCCCACCAAGCCUUCGAUGGAUAGGGGUUCUGAGAGGAAGGUCCCCCACAUUGGAACUGAGACACGGUCCAAACUCCUACGGGAGGCAGCAGUGAGGAAUAUUGGUCAAUGGGCGCUAGCCUGAACCAGCCAAGUAGCGUGAAGGAUGAAGGCUCUAUGGGUCGUAAACUUCUUUUAUAUAAGAAUAAAGUGCAGUAUGUAUACUGUUUUGUAUGUAUUAUAUGAAUAAGGAUCGGCUAACUCCGUGCCAGCAGCCGCGGUAAUACGGAGGAUCCGAGCGUUAUCCGGAUUUAUUGGGUUUAAAGGGAGCGUAGGUGGACUGGUAAGUCAGUUGUGAAAGUUUGCGGCUCAACCGUAAAAUUGCAGUUGAUACUGUCAGUCUUGAGUACAGUAGAGGUGGGCGGAAUUCGUGGUGUAGCGGUGAAAUGCUUAGAUAUCACGAAGAACUCCGAUUGCGAAGGCAGCUCACUGGACUGCAACUGACACUGAUGCUCGAAAGUGUGGGUAUCAAACAGGAUUAGAUACCCUGGUAGUCCACACAGUAAACGAUGAAUACUCGCUGUUUGCGAUAUACAGUAAGCGGCCAAGCGAAAGCAUUAAGUAUUCCACCUGGGGAGUACGCCGGCAACGGUGAAACUCAAAGGAAUUGACGGGGGCCCGCACAAGCGGAGGAACAUGUGGUUUAAUUCGAUGAUACGCGAGGAACCUUACCCGGGCUUAAAUUGCAGUGGAAUGAUGUGGAAACAUGUCAGUGAGCAAUCACCGCUGUGAAGGUGCUGCAUGGUUGUCGUCAGCUCGUGCCGUGAGGUGUCGGCUUAAGUGCCAUAACGAGCGCAACCCUUAUCUUUAGUUACUAACAGGUUAUGCUGAGGACUCUAGAGAGACUGCCGUCGUAAGAUGUGAGGAAGGUGGGGAUGACGUCAAAUCAGCACGGCCCUUACGUCCGGGGCUACACACGUGUUACAAUGGGGGGUACAGAAGGCAGCUAGCGGGUGACCGUAUGCUAAUCCCAAAAUCCUCUCUCAGUUCGGAUCGAAGUCUGCAACCCGACUUCGUGAAGCUGGAUUCGCUAGUAAUCGCGCAUCAGCCACGGCGCGGUGAAUACGUUCCCGGGCCUUGUACACACCGCCCGUCAAGCCAUGGGAGCCGGGGGUACCUGAAGUACGUAACCGCAAGGAUCGUCCUAGGGUAAAACUGGUGACUGGGGC
rnacentral:rRNA from 1 species